UCUUCUGGCACACAGGCAUACAUGCAGAUAGAGUACUCAAAUAUACAAAAAGGGAAAAGAAAUGAAAGGCCUUUGAAAUGUAGACAUGCUUUCAAUUUUAAAGGCUGUUUUCACAUCUCUUAAGAACUAGGGGUUCCAUGAGAACAUAUCCUCACCCUGAGUUCUUACCACCAAUUGAAAACGCUGGCCUGUGCAUAUGAAGAUUGUAUUGCUAGUAAUCAAAUGAUCAUUUGUAGAGUUUAGUAUAAUUAUCAUUUGUUUUCCAGGGAUGAAUUUGGAGUCUGUUUUGUGCUCCUGCCUCAAGAAGAAGGAUUGCCUGGAUUUAGAGGAGUGAAGAGUGCUGGAGAGGGCCCAAAGGUAUUCCCGUUACUUGGUUGACUGAGAUAGUCUCUUCCCUUAAAGGUCUAAUGUGUCAGGUUAUACCUCCUAAGUAAAUACCUCAUUAUUUUCAUGUGGAAUUUUCAACAAUUUUUGUAGUCUAAUGACAGCCUUGUAUUUCUUCACAGGGACAAACAAUCCCUAUGUGAGAUUCAAGGACUGCCAGCAGCCUAUACAGCUACAUUACAUCUCAGCAGAACUUCUCUUCAAGUCCUCGCUACUCUGAACAAAAAGCUUACAGGCCACAUGGAGAAAAAAAGAUCUCCCCCCAGAAUUGUGGGCUUGUUGCUUUGCAGUGCUGGCGACCUAUUCCCUUUGACGAUCCCUAGGUGGAGAUGGGGCAUGAGGAUCCUCCAGGGGAAUAGCUCACCACCACUGGGCAACAGGCCUAGCCCAGAUUUCAGUGAGACGCUUUCCUGAACCCAGCAAGGAAGACAAAGGCUCAAAGAAUGCCACCCUACAUCAAAGUAGGUAAGUUUUCUGCAACAGUGUAAUAAUUUUAACUUUGAUCUUGUUUUCCAUUAAAGUCAGCCUUUUACUUGAGAUAUAUACAUAAAUUUUAUCGUUUUCCCACAUCUGGGAAAUGUAACUAAACAGUGCAAAUGUUUCUUCUAGGAGAAAAGCUGCUGCAAUAGUGGCACUGACCUUCCGAGGAAGCCAUUCUGCUCUAUUUGGUUCUCUCUCCAGAAGUUAGGAGAACUUUGCCAGCUGUUUACAUACUUCAAGAUGCACUGCUACCCUACUCAUGCCAUAUAAUACACAAGUGAGUAGCUUAUUUACCUACCUAGCUAUUUACGAGUACACUGUUGCUGACUUCAGACACACCAGAAGAGAGCACCAGAUCUCAUUACAG
rnacentral:lncRNA from 1 species